CGACAUUGGCAGGCCUCGUGCAGCACCGCCAACCGAACACUGCGCAACAGGAAAUCGUUCAACCGCCAUAUUGAGAACUACCACAGAGAUCAGUGAAAUGCUUAAAGGCAACGGUGGAACCAGAACAAAUUUUAUCGCAAGUGCGAUCCUCAUGUACCAUGUUGUGCGUAUUAUACAUUCUUUGAACGUGGGAGGGCAGACAGUGAGGUUUCGUUCUAGAUGCUGCUAGACAUGUUAAUUGCGUUCUGUUAAUUUUCGUCGAUGGAAAGUAAUAAAAUAUUGAAAUGUAAUAAUAAAAUUGGUAAAAAUUGACAUUUUGGAGGUUGACUGCCAUUCAACAUGUCUCAUGAUCAAUCUGCCGAAAAUGAGUCACGCGGAGAUAAGGAAGUCGUAAAGUUUCAAUUAUGAAAAUCUCGUUCGGAUUACGAAAAUUUCCGUGAUACUAUCACCAGCGAUAUACUCGACCAAUUACCUUACUGAAAAUUCUGUAAUACUAGGCAGUGAUUACUUACAUAAAUGGAAAACACAAGAUUGAGUGCAUUUUCAAUCAAAAAAUUUUAUUUGGAAGGGAAAGUUAUUAUUCCAGGAGAAAUAGUAAAGCCUGUCACUAUUUCUGAUGAUCAUCAACCAUCAACCUGUUUGGAUACAAGAAAUUCCACUGUAUCGCUCGAUGUCGUCCAUCAUUUUUCGCACUACAUCGAACGAGGUCCUUGAAAAUGGUCAGGAAACGUCACUCGUGACAGGCCUUUAUUGACAGAGCUCUGCUGAUUAAACAUCUUAAGACUGAUGGCAGAAAGAUACAAGCUAUUCAGGAGAAAAAAAUUUACGAGGAAGAUACUAAAUUUUAAAUAACAAACGCUCGUAAAAAAUGAAAGAAA